rnacentral:rRNA from 1 species
ACGGGUGACUAACGCGUGGGAAUCUACCCAGUUCUACGGAACAACACUGGGAAACUUGUGCUAAUACCGUAUACGCCCUACCGGGGAAAGAUUUAUCGGAAUUGGAUGAGCCCGCGUAAGAUUAGAUAGUUGGUGGGGUAAUGGCCUACCAAGGCGACGAUCUUUAGCUGGUCUGACAGGAUGAUCACCCACACUGGGACUGAGACACGGCCCACACUCCUACGGGAGGCAGCAAUGGGGAAUAUUGGACAAUGGGCGCAAGCCUGAUCCAGCCAUGCCGCGUGAGUGAUGAAGGCCUUAGGGUUGUAAAGCUCUUUCAGUGGGGACCAUAAUGACGGUACCCACAGAAGAAGCCCCGGCUAACUUCGUGCCAGCAGCCGCGGUAAUACGAAGGGGGCUAGCGUUGUUCGGAUUUACUGGGCGUAAGCCCCACGUAGGCGGAUCGUUAAGUCGGGGGUGAAAUCCUGGAGCUCAACUCCAGAACUGCCUUCCAUACUGGCGAUCUUGAGUCCGGAAGAGGUGAGUGGAACUCCUAGUGUAGAGGUGGAAUUCGUAGA